rnacentral:rRNA from 1 species
AGAGUUGAUCCUGGCUUAGGAUGAACGCUAGCGGCAGGCCUAAUACAUGCAAGUCGUACGGUAAGAUCCCCUCGGGGGAUGAGAGUGGCGGACGGGUGCGUAACGCGUAUGCAACCCACCCCCGACGGGCGGAUAGCCGGUGGAAACGCCGGAUAACCCGCCAUGCGGCCCCACAGGGGCAUCCCUGUGGAGUCAAAGCGGCGACGCGGUCGGGGACGGGCAUGCGUCCCAUUAGAUAGCAGGCGGGGUGACGGCCCACCUGGUCGACGAUGGGUAGGGGAUCUGAGAGGACGGUCCCCCCACACUGGUACUGAGACACGGACCAGACUCCUGCGGGAGGCAGCAGUAAGGGAUAUUGGGCAAUGGGGGCAACCCUGACCCAGCCAUGCCGCGUGAGGGAAUGAGGCCCUACGGGUCGUGAACCUCUUUUGUCCGGGGACAAGGCAUCCCACGCGAUGGGAUGUUGAGGGUACCGGGAGAAUAAGCGUCGGCUAACUCCGUGCCAGCAGCCGC